rnacentral:rRNA from 1 species
AGUGAACGCUGGCGGUAGGCCUAACACAUGCAAGUCGAACGGUAGCACAGUAAGGGCUUGCUCUUACGGGAGGCGAGUGGCGGGCGGGUGAGGAAUACGUCGGAAUCUACUUUUUCGGGGGGGAUAAAGUAGGGAAAGUUACGCUAAUACCGCAUACGACCUACGGGAGAAAGCAGGGGAUCUUCGGACCUUGCGCGAUUGUAUGCGCCGAUGUGGGAUUAGCUAGUUGGUGGGGUAAGGGCACACCGAGGCGACGAUCCGUAGCUGGUCUGAGAGGAUGACCAGCCACACUGGAACUGGGACACGGUCCAGACUCCUACGGGAGGCAGCAGUGGGGAAUAUUGGACAAUGGGCGCAAGCCUGAUCCAGCCAUGCCGCGUGUGUGAAGAAGGCCUUCGGGUUGUAAAGCCCUUUUGUUGGGGAGGAAAAGCAUCAGGUUAAUACCCCGCUGUUCUGACGUUACCCAAAGAAGAAGCACCGGCUAACUUCGUG